UUCAGCAAACACUCGUGUAACUGAAAUGAAACGCGAAAGGGCGGGCUUCCAUUUUCGGAUUUGGCAGGGCGGCGAUUGAAAGGAUACGCGCUGCAGCUCUCAGAUUCGGCAGAUGAGAAGCAUCUUUCUCGCCCAUUUUCGCACGCCUCCAGCUCUCGCGACUUCUCUGUUCGGAAGCUCAGGGGCGGAAGAAUUCUCGAUUCAUUCCCAUACAGCCCUCCCUCUCGUCCGUCUCUCGGCUGUUGGCACACGCAAGAGGCGGAAAUCCUCCUGCUCCGUUCUCUCUUUCGUACGACACGAGGAGCUGGAGCUCCCUCCCGUUUGCCCUCUCUCCUGCGAGACCUGGCCGGAGCCCGUCCAAACUCCAAGCCGCCGGCUCGUCCCCGCUUGCAAGGCAUGGCAAGGAGCCGUGGACAAUUCAGCGAUUCUGUUUACUAGUAUCUGGCAGUUCCUGAGAUAAAUACUUUACUGUCUCAUCCAUUUGGCUAUUUUGAUUUGCCCAUACAUCCUAUUGUCCAUUGAUUUUAUUGGUAGGUUGCUUUAUUAUGCCCUGCGGGAAAUGUCAAAUACAAAUACAGAAAUGGGGCUAUGGAACCGUCCUCUGGCACGCCUGGCUUCGCCGAGCAAGCUUGGCGGUCCGUAAACCCGGCCGAUCUACAAGACCACCCAUGCCACUGUACCCACAGCCGACACUUUGGAGCCCCACUGAGAGAAUCCUUUGUUUAAUUAAUUUACCUGCUGUCAUAAUUGACUAGUCCCUAUUCCCGUGGUCUCUGGUUGUCUAUCUGGUCGCAUCCUUGACAAGCAGUAUGUAAGGAGGAAAUAAGCAGACCCUGGCUCAGUAAUUUUAAAUUUCACAUGUCACUGACAAAAGCUGAGGCUUGCAGUUAAUUGUUUCUCACCAUCACAUGAUCUGAAAACUGUAGCAUACACAAUUUUUUAGCUUUAUUAUGCCCUAUUUGUGUAUUUUUGAUGCCAUACUUUCUAAAAAACAUGUAGAUCAUUGGUUGAUAUCUUUUAAAAGUGUUUUAUUAGA